rnacentral:rRNA from 1 species
UGCAUAUCAAUAAGCGGAGGAAAAGAAACCAACAGGGAUUGCCCUAGUAACGGCGAGUGAAGCGGCAACAGCUCAAAUUUGAAAUCUGGCUCUCGGGCCCGAGUUGUAAUUUGUAGAGGAUACUUUUGAUGCGGUGCCUUCCGAGUUCCCUGGAACGGGACGCCAUAGAGGGUGAGAGCCCCGUCUGGUUGGAUGCCAAAUCUCUGUAAAGUUCCUUCGACGAGUCGAGUAGUUUGGGAAUGCUGCUCUAAAUGGGAGGUAUAUGUCUUCUAAAGCUAAAUACCGGCCAGAGACCGAUAGCGCACAAGUAGAGUGAUCGAAAGAUGAAAAGCACUUUGAAAAGAGAGUUAAAAAGUACGUGAAAUUGUUGAAAGGGAAGCGUUUAUGACCAGACUUGGGCUUGGUUGAUCAUCUGGGGUUCUCCCCAGUGCACUCUUCCAGUCCAGGCCAGCAUCAGUUUUCGCCGGGGGAUAAAGACUUCGGGAAUGUGGCUCUCUUCGGGGAGUGUUAUAGCCCGUUGUGUAAUACCCUGGCGGGGACUGAGGUUCGCGCAUCUGCAAGGAUGCUGGCGUAAUGGUCAUCAACGACCCGUCUUGAACACGGACCAG